UGACAGUACUCCUACGGGAGGCAGCAGUGGGGAAUAUUGCACAAUGGGCGCAAGCCUGAUGCAGCAACGCCGCGUGAGUGAUGAAGGCCUUCGGGUCGUAAAGCUCUGUCCUCAAGGAAGAAUAAAUGACGGUACUUGAGGAGGAAGCCCCGGCUAACUACGUGCCAGCAGCCGCGGUAAUACGUAGGGGCGAAGCGUUAUCCGGAAUCACUGGGCGUAAAGGGUGCGUAGGCGGUUUUCUAAGUCAGAAGUGAAAGGACUAUGGCUCAACCAUAGUAAGCUUUGUAAACUAGUUAAACUUGAGUGCAGGAGAGGAAGUGGAAUUCCUAGUGUAGAGGUGAAAUUCGUAGAUAUUAGGAGGAACACCAGUGGCGAAGGCGACUUUCUGGACUGUAACUGACGCUGAGGCACGAAAGCGUGGGGAGCGAACAGGAUUAGAUACCCUGGUAG
rnacentral:rRNA from 1 species